UUGAAGGUCAAGGUCACUGUGACCUUCAAUAUAAAAAAUGUUAAAGUUGUUAUAACUUUGGUAUGCUUGGACCUAGAGUCUUGAAACUUGACAUGAAGGUUGGCCAUAACUAGUUAGUAACCACUGGUCAUUUCAAGGUCAUUCAUUUGAAGGUCAAGGUCACUGUGACCUUGAAUGUAAAAAUGUUAAAGUUGUUAUAACUUUGGUAUGCUUGGACCUAGAGUCUUGAAACUUGACAUGAAGGUUGGCCAGAACUAGUAAGUAACCACUGGACAUUUCAAGGUCAUUCAUUUGAAGGUCAAGGUCACUGUGACCUUGAAUGUAAAAAUGUUAAAGUUGUUAUAACUUUGGUAUGCUUGGACCUAGAGUCUUGAAACUUGACAUGAAGGUUGGCCAGAACUAGUAAGUAACCACUGGACAUUUCAAGGUCAUUCAUUUGAAGGUCAAGGUCACUGUGACCUUAAAUGUAAAAAUGUUAAAAUUGUUAUAACUUUGGUAUGCUUGGACAUAGAGUCUUCAAACUUGACAUGAAGGUUUGCAAGCACACUUAGAUGACCACUGGUCAUUUCAAGGUCAUUCAUUCUAAGGUCAAGGUCACUGUGACCUUGAAUGUAAAAAUGUCUGGAUUUCUGUGUAGGUAUGUGAAAGCAAAACAAUAAAUAGUAUUAUUUCAUCUAAGUUUAUUUUCUUACAUUUGAUAAUGAAAUUGAUGGAAACUUCAAACAAUAUGUUACUAAUUUGCUAAUAAAAAAAUUGAGAUCAAACUUU